ensembl:lncRNA
CAAGCAAGUGACAACAGUAAGACUAGGUUGCGUUUUGCCUUGUAGAAUUACCUGCAUGACCAUGGAGAAGAUAUGAAGAAGUGGCAUAAGAAACCCACUUCUGCUCUUCAAGCACAGAUAAAAGAAUUAGAAGAUAGAUCAACCACCAAGGUGAAUUUCUUCAAAAAGGUGGUUGCUCCAGUUGAUGCGGGACACGGCAAUAGUCAGGAGGACAACGGAGGUAACAAAUAGAGGGGCCCUUUGGAACAUCGCCAGGAGAGGAGGUAUCAUGUGCUAAAGAAGCCCCACCAUACAAUGAACUACCAGAAAAUGAAAGGAAAUAUGCCCUGUUCACAGAUAGAUCGUGUCGUAUUGUGGGGAAGCUUCGCAGAUGGAAAGCUGCUGUGUGGAGCCCCACACGACAAGUUGCAGAGGCCACUGAAGGUAAAGGAGAAUCAAGUCAGUUCGCAGAGGUAAAGGCUAUCCAACUGGCCUUAGAUGUUGCUGAACAGGAGAGGUGGCCAAUGCUUUUUCUUUAUACUGACUCAUGGAUGGUGGCGAAUGCCUUAUGGGGGUGGUUACAGCAGUGGGAGCAAAAUAACUGGCAAAGGAGGGGUAAACCUGUUUGGGCUGCUGAACUGUGGAAAGACAUUACUGCCCAAAUAAAGAAUAUGGUUGUAAAUAUGGUUGCGCCAUGUAGAUGCUCAUGUGCCCAAGAAUCGGGCUACUGAAGAACAGCAAAACAACCAUCAGGUAGAUCGAGCCGCCAAAAUUGAGGUGGCUCAAAUAGACUUGGACUGGUAGAACAAGAGUGAAUUAUUUCUAGCUCGGUGGGCCCAUGAAACUUCGGGUCAUCAAGGAAGGGAUGCAACAUAUAAGUGGGCUAGAGACCGAGGGUUGGACUUAACUAUGGACGCUAUUGCACAGGUUGUUCAUGACUGUGUAACGUGUGCCAUAAUUAAACAAGCCAAGAGAAUGAAACCUCUCUGGGAGGAAGGGCGAUGGCAAAAGUAUAAAUAUGGGGAGGCGUGGCAGGCUGAUUAUAUCACCUUGCCAAGAUCUCGCAAUGGUAAGCGUUAUGUGCUUACCAUGGUGGAAGCGACCACUGGG